UACGUAGGUGGCAAGCGUUAUCCGGAUUUACUGGGUGUAAAGGGCGUGUAGGCGGGACUGCAAGUCAGAUGUGAAAAUUAUGGGCUCAAUCCAUAACCUGCAUUUGAAACUGUAGUUCUUGAGUGAUGGAGAGGCAGGCGGAAUUCCGUGUGUAGCGGUGAAAUGCGUAGAUAUACGGAGGAACACCAGUGGCGAAGGCGGCCUGCUGGACAUUAACUGACGCUGAGGCGCGAAAGCGUGGGGAGCAAACAGG
rnacentral:rRNA from 1 species